AACGCGAAGAACCUUACCCAGACUUGACAUGCAGUGGACCGCAUCAGAAAUGGUGCUUCCCUUCGGGGCCGCUGCACAGGUGCUGCAUGGCUGUCGUCAGCUCGUGCCGUGAGGUGUUGGGUUAAGUCCCGCAACGAGCGCAACCCUUAUCACUAGUUGCCAACACGUAAUGGUGGGAACUCUAGUGAGACUGCCCGGGUUAACCGGGAGGAAGGUGAGGAUGACGUCAAGUCCGCAUGGCCCUUAUGUCUGGGGCUACACACGUACUACAAUGGUCGGUACAGAAGGCAGCGCAGCCGCGAGGUGUAGCCAAUCCCAAAAGCCGAUCUCAGUUCAGAUUGUAGUCUGCAACUCGACUACAUGAAGACGGAAUUGCUAGUAAUGGCAGGUCAGCACACUGCCGUGAAUACGUUCCCGGGCCUUGUACACACCGCUACAGU
rnacentral:rRNA from 1 species